GACGGAGGGGGCUAGCGUUGUUCGGAAUGACUGGGCGUAAAGGGCGCGUAGGCGGUUUUUUAAGUGAGGCGUGAAAGCCCUGGGCUUAACCCAGGAGGUGCGUUUCAUACUGAAAAGCUUGAGUACGAGAGAGGAAAGCGGAAUUCCUAGUGUAGAGGUGAAAUUCGUAGAUAUUAGGAAGAACACCAGUGGCGAAGGCGGCUUUCUGGCUCGUAACUGACGCUGAGGCGCGAAAGCGUGGGGAGCAAACAGG
rnacentral:rRNA from 1 species